rnacentral:rRNA from 1 species
CCUACGGGUGGCAGCAGUGGGGAAUAUUGGACAAUGGCCGGAAGCCUGAACCAGCCAUGCCGCGUGAAGGUAGAUGCCCUUUGGGCGGUAAAGUUCUUUUGUCCGGGAGCAAAAAUACUCACGUUGGGCCAGACUAGAUUACCGUCCUAAUCAGCAUCGGCUCAAUCCGUGCCAGCAGCCGCGGGCAUACGGGGGAUGCAAGGGUUAACCGGAGUUAUAGGGGUUGAAGGGUGCGUAGGCUGGGAGGUAAGGCAGUGGGGGAAUGCCCCCGGUCAAGGGGGGGAAGUGCCAUUGAUACUGGCUGGCUGGAAUGCGGAUGAGGUGGGAGGAAUGUGUGGUGUAGCGGUGAAAUGCAUAGAUAUCACAAAGAACACCGAUUGCGAAGGCAUCUCACGAAGCCGUGAUUGACGUUGAUGCACGAAAGCGUGGGUAUCAAACAGGAUUAGAUACCCGAUUAGUC